AGUGAACGCUGGCGGUAGGCCUAACACAUGCAAGUCGAACGGCAGCACAGUAAGAGCUUGCUCUUACGGGUGGCGAGUGGCGGACGGGUGAGGAAUACAUCGGAAUCUACUUUUUCGUGGGGGAUAACGUAGGGAAACUUACGCUAAUACCGCAUACGACCUACGGGUGAAAGCAGGGGAUCUUCGGACCUUGAGCGAUUGAAUGAGCCGAUGUCGGAUUAGCUAGUUGGCGGGGUAAAGGCCCACCAAGGCGACGAUCCGUAGCUGGUCUGAGAGGAUGAUCAGCCACAUUGGAACUGAGACACGGUCCAGACUCCUACGGGAGGCAGCAGUGGGGAAUAUUGGACAAUGGGCGCAAGCCUGAUCCAGCCAUACCGCGUGGGUGAAGAAGGCCUUCGGGUUGUAAAGCCCUUUUGUUGGGAAAGAAAAGCAGCAGGUUAAUACCCCGCUGUUCUGACGGUACCCAAAGAAUAAGCACCGGCUAACUUCGUG
rnacentral:rRNA from 1 species